UUGACCUCAAAUCAGGUAGGACUACCCGCUGAACUUAAGCAUAUCAAUAAGCGGAGGAAAAGAAACUAACAAGGAUUCCCCUAGUAACUGCGAGUGAAGCGGGAAAAGCUCAAAUUUAAAAUCUGGCGGUUCUUGUAGCCGUCCGAGUUGUAAUUUAGAGAAGUGUUAUCCGUGCUGGACCGUGUACAAGUCUCCUG
rnacentral:rRNA from 1 species